rnacentral:rRNA from 1 species
AUGAAACUUGAGAUGUGGGAUAAGAGUAAAAAGCUGAAUUAUUGUAUUCUGGUGGUCUAUGGGUCUGCUCAUGAGGAACAUAAAGUAGAAUUUUUGACUGAGCUUUCUGACAUGUGCAAUAGUACUACUUUUCCAUACAUUGUAGGUGGUGACUUUAAUAUCCUGAGGUAUGCUAGUGAGAAGAAUAAGAAAACUAGGACUAGCCAUGCCUCUGAUCUCUUUAACUCCAUCAUUAAUACUUUUUGCCUUAGAGAAGUUGACAUGAAUGGGGGUCUUUAUACCUGGUCUAAUAAUCAGCAAAAACCUACCCUUGAAAAAUUGGACCGGAUACUUAUGUCCAGUUCUUGGGAGAGGAAAUUUACUUUUGUUAGAAAGUUGGUCAAAGAAAUUUCAUAUCACAGCCCCCUGAUCUUGAACACUGAAGACUUUAUUCCUAAUUCAGUUUGAAAGAGAGAAUUUAGAUUUGACCUUAAUUGGCUUAAGAAUCCUGAGUUUAUACCCUUAGUUACUAAGUUGUGGAUGAAACCUGUCAAAUCAAAAGACCCCAUUGACAUUUUGAACAUUAAAAAGAGAUUUAAAAAGUUUUCCAAAGGAUGGGGGGCAAACUUAUUUGGAAAAUCCAGAAAAAGGAGAAGAGGGCUUAGAGUAGAGUUAGAACAUCUAGAAAAAAUGGAAACAGAUGUCCUAUUGCCAGAAUUAUGUGGUAAAAAAGUUGAUAUACUGGUAGAGCUAUAUAACCUCCUGGUGGAGGAGGAAAUUGCUUGGAUGCAAAAAUCCCAUAAAAACUGGCUGUUGAAAGGGGACAAAAAUACUGACUAUUUUCAUAGAAUAGUGAACGGGAGAAGACAGAGGAAUACUAUCUUCUCUCUUAGUUGCGGGGAUGAGGUGAUUGAGGGGACCAAUAACCUUUCGAAACAUGCCACAAAAUUUUAUAAGGACCUUUUUGGGCCCGCAGCUGGAAAUUUAUGCAAGAUGAGGGAGAAUAUGUGGGAAUCAAAUGAGAAACUGACAAACAUUGACAACUUCAUCCUUACUAGACCCUUUUCUGAAACAGAGAUAAAUAACGCUCUCUUUUCCAUGAAACCCAAUAAAGCACCAGGUCCUGAUAAUAUUCCCAUUGAAUUUUUCCAACAUUGUAGGGAGGUGGUUAAAAACAAAGUGAUGCUCUUAUUUGAAUGGUUUCAUGACAAUAAGCUUGAUGUAUAA